rnacentral:rRNA from 1 species
UACGUAGGGUGCAAGCGUUGUCCGGAAUUAUUGGGCGUAAAGGGCUCGUAGGCGGUCCAUCGCGUCGGGAGUGAAAAGCUGGGGCUCAACCCCAGUCCUGCUUUCGAUACGGGUGGACUAGAGGUAUGCAGGGGAGAACGGAAUUCCUGGUGUAGCGGUGGAAUGCGCAGAUAUCAGGAGGAACACCGGUGGCGAAGGCGGGUCUCUGGGCAGUAACUGACGCUGAGGAGCGAAAGCGUGGGGAGCGAACAGG